rnacentral:tRNA from 1 species
GGGUUUGUAGCUCAGUUGGUUAGAGCGCCUCGUUUACACCGAGGAGGUCACAGGUUCGACUCCUGUCAAACCCACCA